UCUCCGUAGGUGAACCUGCGGAGGGAUCAUUACAGAGUUCUCGCCCUCACGGGUAGAUCUCCCACCCACUGUUAUCGUUACUGUCGUUUCUUUGGCGGGCCGCCGGGUCCCCGGCCGCCGGCGCCUAGCUGCCGGCGCGCGCCCGCCAGAGGCCUUCAAACUCUGAAUGUUAGUGUCGUCUGAGUACUAUAUAAUAGUUAAAACUUUCAACAACGGAUCUCUUGGUUCUGGCAUCGAUGAAGAUCGCAGC
rnacentral:misc_RNA from 1 species